rnacentral:lncRNA from 10 species
UACCAUACUGUGUGACAAAUUUAGUGGCCAUCCCAAAGGGUUUGCGUAUAUAGAGUUCUCAGACAAAGAGUCAGUGAGGACUUCCUUGGCCUUAGAUGAGUCCCUAUUUAGAGGAAGGCAAAUCAAGGUGAUCCCAAAACGAACCAACAGACCAGGCAUCAGCACAACAGACCGGGGUUUUCCACGAGCCCGCUACCGCGCCCGGACCACCAACUACAACAGCUCCCGCUCUCGAUUCUACAGUGGUUUUAACAGCAGGCCCCGGGGUCGCGUCUACAGGUCAGGAUAGAUGGGCUGCUCCUCUUUCCCCCGCCUCCCGGGCCGGGCUAGAGCGACAUCAUGGUAUUCCCCUUACUAAAAAAAGUGUGUAUUAGGAGGAGAGAGAGGAAAAAAAGAGGAAAGAAGG